UUUCCCUCUCCCUUUCCCUCUCCCUUUCCUUUCCUUUCCUUUCCUUUCCUUUCCUUUCCUUUCCUUUCCUUUCCUUUCCUUUCCUUUCCUUUCCUUUCCUUUCCUUUCCUUUCCUUUCCUUUCCUUUCCUUUCCUUUCCUUUCCUUUCCUUUCCUUUCCUUUCCUUUCCUUUCCUUUCCUUUCCCUUCCCUUCCCUUUCCCCUUUCCUUUCUUUCCCCUUUCCUUUCUUGCCUUCUAACAAACAAAAAGCCCUUGGAGUUUCCCUGCUGCUGUAGAUUCCUUAUCUUUUAAAUCUCAUUGCAUCAACUUCCUCAACGCCCCCUCAAGCUGCAAUCAAAUUCAGCUGGGCCAGAGGGGAUAUUUUCUGGUUAACUCACAGGUUCUUUCCCCUGCAGCCAUUUCAAAGCAGUUUCAGUAAUUAAAAUUGACUGGCUGAAUUUGGACAGUAUUUCCCUGAAUCCCUCUGUAUCCAGCUGGGAGCUUGCUUUCUGCCCAGAGGUGUGACAGCCAUGAGUGCUAAGAGAAAAAGAAAAAAAACCUGUAUUUUAGCUUUGCUUAUUCUUGUUUUACCUCUGCAUGAACAAUAUUUAAUAUAGAACAACGAAUGUAUCUCAGUUAUUGUCCAGCUGUGUGAGAGAAACUGGAUAAACUCGUUCAGUUUUAUGCUUCUUGGUGAUUUCAGACUGAUUUCUUGAAAGGCAGCUCAAGUCCUCCAGCAUCUUCUUAUGGGUUAACUUGGGUUCUGCUUUUUUGAAGCAAGUUUGGUCAGAUAUUAUCAUUCUCCCUUUGCAGUGCACAGGGAGAUAACAAUUAGAUGUAAUUCCUUUUAAUGAGGGUCUGGGUCUUGGCACGGCAUUUACAAGGAGGUUAAGGAGACAAGAAACUCCUGUAACAGAGAGACCAUUAAAGUUUGCCUUCUGUUAAUAAUAAUACCAGCUUAGUGGACAAAAUUACUUUAAAGAGCUCGUUAAGAUUAGAACAUCUUCAUACCUUUCUCAAAUUUCUGUGGUCCUUGACAGUAAAUUGUUAAUGUUUAUUUUCUGGCUUUUUUUUUUCUGGCUUUUUAGAGAGAAUGUACGUGAAGUUUUAAGGAGUAAUACUGACCAGAUGGGUUUGCAUUUUUUUUUAAGGAUGAUGCCCAAGAGGCUGUUUAACAGGUUAAAAAUGUCAAAAGACUGGCACAGCAAUGCCUGUGUAGUGACUAGAUUCAGUUUUGGAAUUCAAAAACACCAAGAAAAAGCCCUCACUUUUUGGCUCAUUAUUUAAUUAUUUGCAUUUUUUCACAUUUAAGAUAUCAGCUAGGAAGAGCUGGAAUCUUCUGGCAAGAACAGCAGCUUCCUGUAUAGUUCAAUCAAGGCAGAAAAAUCCAGCCAGCAAAUGCAGAGCACAAGAUGAACUGACACUGUCUGCAGCCUAUGAGGAAUUUCCUGGGACAGAGCUCACUCUGAGCAGGUGUGGCCUGCCUGUUGUGUGUCUGUGUUUGCAGUGAAGAGGUUCCAUCAGAGGGGAUGUGCUGUGACUGCUGGAACUGCUGCUGGAGCUGCUUGAGGACACUGACCAGCCCACCUGGAUGGAGGUUUGGAGUUUGGGGCUGCCCAUGGGAGCCCUGCUGGAAUCAGCACUAAACUGAACCUGGCUCGUUGCAGCCCACAAAGCGCUCUGCUUGAAAAGCAUCCUGAGUGACCCAUCUGAUCCCUGGUAGCUGUGCUGGGUGAAGAGCUCCCUCCCCUGCAGAAAAGCAGAGUGCUUUGCUGUGCAGCAAAUCCUGUGCAGUCAGUGCCAAGGAAGCACUUUGGGGCAGAGCCCAGCAGUGCAGGGACACCGAGAUCUGCCUGUCCCUUCCCUUGCCAACCAAAGCCAGGCAGCACUGCCUGCUGGUGGCAAGGUGGUGUUUUCCUGCUGCAGGUGACACUGUGCUGAAGGAAGCACCAUGUUUAUUAAAGGAUCACACACUUCUUCCGCAGCACAACUUCAUUUUCAAGAGCACAGAAGUUUGUUCAGAGCAGACAGAUGGCCUCAGAUCAGCUUCUGCUGCAAAUGACUGCUUGAAUCUUAGGUAUGAGGCAUGAUUCAAACCUGACUGCUAGGGGUGCCAGGAAAAUAAAUGAUAGCUGCCAGGGUUGCAGUCUGUUGCCCAGCUAAUUCCCAAAAUCUCACUCCUGCUACUGAGAGCUGACAGCAGGGUUCAGAGAUGACAAAUGAUCAGAAAAUAACACAGUCUGUGCAGGCCUUUGGUCUGAUCUCUGUCCAAGCCUGAAGAGUCAGCACUGGUCCUCUGCAAAUGCUGCUCUUUGGUCCCAGAAGAUACAGGUCACACAUGGAAUUUAUGAUUAAUCCUCAUUGUUAGAGCAUGAAUCUUAAGCAAAGGACAAUUACCUUAAUUAGUUCUCAGUGUUUUGUAUGUGGAAAGAUCCCUGCUUACCUUCCUCCCCUGAGGCCUGGUCUCUACAGGACCUGUCUGAGGUGGGUGAGGGGAUAUUUGUACCCCCAGGGCUGGAUGUAACAUUCAAACCAGUCUGACAGUAUCAAGUUUGGGCCAGGAAAGCUUAAAAUCUGUGCCAGGGCUUGGGCUGAAACUGUGUCAAUGGCUGUUUGAUACUCUGUUUAGUGUUUCUAACUUUCUUGGGUUCAUUUAAGUGUUUAGGAACUGGUUGUUUGCUUUUUUGUUACAACACAGACAAUGGAUGCAACUUAAAAUUUUUGGCUUUGGCCUAAAAGCUGUCAUUGCCCAGGAGGUUUCAGAGCUCACCCCCUUUUAUUUGUUUGUUAAAUCUUGAUUUUAUUGAGCUUAUCUAUGCACACACGUGAAAUAAACCUCAUCACACAAAUUCCAUACCUCAUUUUACACCUCUCCCAACAAAACGCCACCCCUUGGUCACACGGGCCUCCCCUGGAAGGAAAGAGCAAUUUGUAGCAGUUCUUUGCCCAGCUCCUCGUGCCUGCCCCCGGCGCAGAACUCGGCCGAGAGCUCCCUGAAGGUGAUGCAGACGCGGCGGUGCUGGAUGUGCCUGCGGCGGAUGCCGUGUUUCCAUUUGUACCGCGCAUCCCCGUGCAGCACCACCAGCGACCUCUGGGGCAAGAGGAUGGCCACGCUCACCUCCUUCCCUGGAACCAGCCUCGGUGACAAAAAGCACUCUG